rnacentral:rRNA from 1 species
CUACGGGUGGCUCCAGUGGGGAAUAUUGCACAAUGGAGGAAACUCUGAUGCAGCAACGCCGCGUGGAGGAUGACACUUUUCGGAGCGUAAACUCCUUUUAUAUAGGAAGAAGAUGACGGUACUAUAUGAAUAAGCGCCGGCUAAAUCCGUGCCAGCAGCCGCGGUAAUACGGAGGGCGCAAGCGUUACUCGGAAUCACUGGGCGUAAAGAGCGUGUAGGCGGAUUAAAAAGUCAGAAGUGAAAUCCUAUAGCUUAACUAUAGAACUGCUUCUGUAACUCUUAAUCUAGAAUAUGGGAGAGGUAGAUGGAAUUUCUGGUGUAGGGGUAAAAUCCGUAGAGAUCAGAAGGAAUACCGAUUGCGAAGGCGAUCUACUAGAACAUUAUUGACGCUGAGACGCGAAAGCGUGGGGAGCAAACAGGAUUAGAUACCCCUGUAGUC